GUCUGUGUUUAGCUUGUAGGUCUGUGUUUAGAGAAGACAUGUUAUGCAGCAAUUUAGAGUCAGCAGGAAUACUUCCCCUUCUAUUAUGCCAGCUACCUACUGGGGGAAAGAGAAGGAGCAGAGGAAAGAGCAUCAACUAGGGAAUGUGUGUUCCACUUCUGCUCCUACUUCCACUUGAAAUAAGGCACUCAGCAUGAAUUUAGAAACAGAAGAAUGAAUAUGCUUUUGCCAUUGUUUUGAUCUAAGGAGCUGCAAGAAGUACUGAUACUCUUUUAGGCUUUCAACUUUUCUUUCCCUCUGUAUGUAAUUCUUUCUAGAUUAUGUUUUUUUAUUCCUUGCAAAAAUUCAUCUCUCUGAUUUUUUUUUUUUUUCAGCUAUUUAUCUUCCUAGAAUUUAUCCUUUUAUAGAAAUGAAGAAAAAACCCUCUGCUAUAUGGAAAGCAUUGUUGGUUUGCAAUUUUUUAAGAAGUUUUUGAUGUAAUCUGGAAGCAACAUUGGUUCUGUAUCUACAGUUGCUAAAUCUAGUGCUGAAAGCUUGAUACUGAGUGGAUUAAUGCACAUGUACUGUUCAAGGAUGCUUUCAAAACUGUAACAGUAGAAGAAAAAUGUAUUUGAUGUUAUGCAGGCUCCUUACAGAGAAAUGUGGUGGUAGAGCAAUUCUGCUAAUACUAGGUUGUUGUCGUGGUUUGAGCCCACAGACCAUAAAAUCAAACUUGAGGUAACUGAACAUCUUUAAAGUGGAGUGGUU